UUUGUUUUCUCGACUGGGCUCCACCGGCGUACGGCUGCAAAAGCGCACGAUUCCCGGCCGUGGCUUGGCUUGGCUUGCGGUAACUGCACGGCGGUGACUAGACUGACAAUCAAAGUCUUGCCCCCGUUUCGUCUCCUCCCACCCCUCCGCUUCCCAUUUUGCUGGGGUUCUCCCUACCCAACUCUUCAAUCCUCUGCUUUUGAGAGGACUCAAGGCUAUUUCUUCUGAUUGAAGGGAGGAGCUGUCACUUUUUAAUUUUUGUUCGAAGAUCAAAAUUCCUCCGGGAUAAAGUCCCGAUUUGGCCAGAGGAUGCAAUACGUUUUGUUCUUCUUCUGAGGGAAUGUAGUUCGCUCACUCAUUUGUUAUGUUUGAAUAAAACGAAGAUCAAAUAUGGAUGCUACUUCUAGCCUAUUUGACCACAAGUGAUUUGGCUUGCCCCAUUUGUUCACUCGAUUAAUAAUUAGAUUAUAGUAAUCAAUGCCAUUUCUGCUUUUGCUGCCAAUAUAAACUUUGUUCAUCAUCAUUUUUAGUUAAUUUGUACAGUUUAAGUUAUCCGCAUCGAUUCUUAACUGUCAAAUUUUAUGCUGUUUGCACCAUUUAGAUGUCCGGGAUGAAAAUUGUGUUCACAGGAAAUCCAAAUCUGAUGUUUGACUUCAAUUCCUUCCUGUCGAGAUGGAACCCUGUUACGUUUGAAGAAUCUCUCGACUUUGUGAAGAAAGUAAAGGUCUUGCGUUUUCAGGCUCGUGACUACCAGUUAUACCUGUCAUUGUCUGACAUUCUCAGCCAGAAGGAGCAGACACCCCCAGAAAUUUACCAUAAUUUGUUAUUUCUCUUUCAGGAUCAUGAUGAUCUGUGCAAGGAGCUAAUGCGUUUCAAACCUCAUGUCCGAGAAAGAAGGAUUAACAAGCACAACUCAUUCGGAAUGUCGCUUUUGCUCAUGUCUGUAUUUCUUUUGAGUUUGUUCUUAAUGUUUGAGCAACCUCUGAGAUAUGUUGUUCAACAAGCUUUUGGAACCUAGCCUUUCUAACUGGUGCUUAUGGCGCAUGUACAGUCGACUUUCUCCUGGUAAUAAAAACUUUUUUUUUUUUUUGGUCCAACCAGUUUCUCGAAGACCACCGAAUGUUGACUUCUUUGGUGAGAAAUUUACAGAUGUUCAAAAUUCAAUUAAAGAAGAAUUUUGUCUGA